rnacentral:lncRNA from 1 species
GGGAACAGCGGGGACUGUCUGGGGGCACACCGGCAGAACCGGGCGCAGCCCGCAGGCCACGAGGGUCAGGCACACCCGGAAAACAUCGGUCGCCGCAGCAGUGGCACCGGGCACGCCAACACCAGGCACGGCGGGUGUCACCGAGCACCGGCAAGGCGAGGCACCGCCGGUACACCGCAUCGCCCCUGGCCUCCCGCAGGCACCGGGCUCUGUAGUGCUUUCCGAGCGUCCCUUCCUAGGAAUCCCUUCCCAGGACAGCUCUGUUUUACUGGCCUUCCUUGUAAUAUCAUUGCUUGAUACUAGAGUGGAAAAGAAGUCCCAGCUGCCAGCACAGCUGAAUGGUGAGGGAAAUGGGAGAUGUCCCGCAGGAGCUGUAGCUGGGGCUGUGCCAGAGGAACGAUUGCCGGCCCCGGUGUCGUGUCGCGGUGACACAGCCUCUGUCCGUGCUCCGCAGGUGCGGCGGGGCGGAGCCGGCCCGUGGGCGUCCCGCGGGCGACGGACUGCUGCUCAAGGUUCUGCGCCGGAGAUUUGCAACUACAGGCUGAGCACUUUCUCCAUGGCUCAGAGCACAGCUGUGCCGUGCUGUCAGCAGUGAGUCUGUCCACACAAGAGAGGAGCUACCCAGGUCAUUUAACUUCCAAACUGCAUUGGAGUCCUGAUCCAAUUUAGGGAAUGUUAGCCCGUGUCUGGUAGUGGGAUUGUGGCACAGGUGGAACAUGCCUGAUUAUACCUGAAUUACUUAGCAAGAAAUAAUGCUGCACUUGAUUCUAACCAAGAAUUUUAGAAAUAAGGACAGUUUUCAAAUUCUGCUUUUCACACCAAUUGAACAUUCAAUAAAGGCAAUUGCCCUUUAAAGUUUUUUUCA